rnacentral:lncRNA from 1 species
ACUCAACCGUGGUGUUGCUCACGGUUUCCUCAUCUAUAAAAUGAGAAUGACAAUGUUACCUGCUUAAUGGGGGGCGGUCAGUGAGGACUAACUGAUGUCCUACACUGACAGGUGACCAAGUAGGACACUCAGGACUCUGACCACUCACAGGAAGAACUCGUGAAUGUCCACCAGCAUCCGCCUUGUCAUCAUCACUGCCCGUCUUAUCAUGGUC